CGGGAGCAGGAGCCAGAGCACCAACAUUUCGGCCCGCGAGACGGGAAGGAAGGUGUGGCACGAGUGGUUUCGCUGAACUCUGACCCUCACGCCAGAUAAUAACCAACUGCAGCCACGUUCUCACAGACCCUGGGGGGGAAUUUUCAAAAAUCCUGACAGGAAGGGACAUCGGAUCAGAUCAUCUUUAAGAAGAUAGCAGAUGAUAAGCCGCCUACAGCCAACACCUGAGAACUCUCUGUAACCAGAAGCUUGAGGAAAUCACCAAGCAAUUUAAAUGAACUAUAACAAAUCAUUCUCUCUCAAAUUUCAUUGUCAUCCCCUACCUGUUUCUCUUUCUAUACUUGUUGCUAUACUCUUUGCUGUAGGGCUUACCCAAGUUACUCCCGCAGACUGGCGCCUCAGUCACAAACUCUUGUUAGCUUUCCUCUACUUACUAGUGUCAGGAUGUCUUAUUCUCCUUAGAUGUAUAUGAUCUGAGUUAUGAUUGCUGUCCCCUAUUUGGAAUAAGAAACUGUCAGGAACCUACCCUAACACACAAAAAAAAUUCUCCUACUGUUAAUGCUGAGUUCUCUCAUAAGAAUUGAUGUCCCUCCUCAAUGUAAUGAUGACUGUUUCAAGACCAGCACAUGAGCUCCUCCCUUUCCCCUGCCCUGAAUAGCCUAAAACAACCCCUAGGACAGGGAACUACACACAAGGCCUUCACCAAAUACACAUAUCAACAUGCAAAAUGUUAUCAGUCAGCCUUGCUCUGUUCCCACAAUGAAAAACCUUAUUGGCAAGGAAGAAUUAAAGCAAGACACCUUUCACAGGGAACAAUCAUGUCAUGGAGUCCCAGACAAAUAUGCCUGCUAGGCACAAUAAACCCACUUUGGAUUGUCUGAUGGAGGGGGAGUCCAAGGCCAGGACUGUAAGGAGUCAUCCCAACAGGAGGUACAAAAUUCCAUAAAGCAAACUUCUGGAAGUCUGUCCAGGAGACCCAAACUUCCAAAAAUCAGACUCAGUGGCCCUUAUGACUUUAACUUGCUCAUACCAGAUUCUAAAUUCAACCCAUCAUCUUCUCAACUCCUCUAACCCUAAUUAGCCAAGGACUGUUGGUUUUGUCUCUCUCUAACCCCCUUACCUGCCCCAGACCCAGGUAAUGUAAUCAAAAUGGCUAUCCCCCGCAACAUGUCAACAGAUAACAUAACUGUCACAAUAGGGCCCACGGUUACUGAUAUGAAGGUAAUAGGGUGGGCCUCCUUAUGUUUUAAAGACCAGUGGGGAACAACCCCUCUACAUAACUUAACUAACAACCAGUGAAACCAAGCUGAGAUAUACAAACAGAAGCUAUAAUACUCCAGAUGAUGCUCCAGUUGGACCAUUCUAGCUGUCGCUACUCUCCUUUGGAUGGCAAAGAACCCUAGCUGUCACAUUCCUCCCUUCCACGUCCCUGUCCAGCAGGAAGAAGCCAGAAUGGUCUUCACCCCUCCUCCCAUGGCCGCAAAGGAUUUCCUGGCCUCCACAAACUGAUUUUCUCUAAGUCAGCUACAGCAGCUUGAGAAUCAAGGGUGGGGUGGGAAUGGGGGGGUGGGAGGUAGGGAUGAGAAGGAAAGUUGGUAAAAAGCAGAUAAAAAGGGGCAGCCAGAUGUCUGGGGCAGGAUACUCCCCUUGCAUGCUUUUGGCUUCUACAAUCUUGCUUGCCUCUUGUAUCAGCCAGAAGCCAGGAACUGUACUAGCCCCGCCCAACCCGGAAGCACGUAUGUAUAAAAAACCAGUAAAACCAUAGCAGGAUGCACAGUCUUUAAAGGUGACUCUGCUGGCCCAGCACCUGUGCGAAAUAAACAGUCUUUUCUGAUUCCCGGA